ensembl:miRNA
GCAAGUGUACUGUUUGGUUUUUCGUUUUCCCUGUGUCUUCCCACCCUUAUCUCCACAGGCAAAUGGCCAUCUUGC